GGACGACCUGCCCUUAGGACGGGGAUAAACCCGGGAAACUGGGUAUAAUACCCGAUAGGUCUCGAUUGCUGGAAUGCAUCGAGAUUUAAAGCUCCGGCGCCUAAGGAUGGGUCUGCGGCCUAUCAGGUAGUAGUGGGUGUAGCGUACCUACUAGCCUACGACGGGUACGGGUUGUGAGAGCAAGAGCCCGGAGAUGGAUUCUGAGACACGAAUCCAGGCCCUACGGGGUGCAGCAGGCGCGAAAACUUUACAAUGCUGGCAACAGCGAUAAGGGAACCUCGAGUGCCAGGUUACAAAUCUGGCUGUCGAGAUGCCUAAAAAGCAUUUCAUAGCAAGGGCCGGGCAAGACCGGUGCCAGCCGCCGCGGUAACACCGGCGGCUCGAGUGGUAACCGUUAUUAUUGGGUCUAAAGGGUCUGUAGCCGGCCGGAUAAGUCUCUUGAGAAAUCUGGCAGCUUAACUGUCAGGCUUUCAGGAGAUACUGUCUGGCUCGAGGCCGGGAGAGGUGAGAGGUACUUCAGGGGUAGGGGUGAAAUCUUGUAAUCCUUGAAGGACCACCAGUGGCGAAGGCGUCUCACCAGAACGGACCUGACGGCAAGGGACGAAAGCUAGGGGCACGAACCGGAUUAGAUACCCGGGUAGUCCUAGCCGUAAACGAUACUCGCUAGGUGUCGGCCACGGUGCGACCGUUGUCGGUGCCGUAGGGAAGCCGUGAAGCGAGCCACCUGGGAAGUACGGCCGCAAGGCUGAAACU
rnacentral:rRNA from 1 species